rnacentral:rRNA from 1 species
CCUACGGGAGGCAGCAGUGGGGAAUAUUGCGCAAUGGGCGAAAGCCUGACGCAGCGACGCCGCGUGAGGGAUGAAGGUCUUCGGAUCGUAAACCUCUGUCAGCAGGGAAGAACGGUCACUGUGCUCAUCAGCAGUGAAUUGACGGUACCUGCAAAGGACGCACCGGCUAACUCCGUGCCCGCAGCCGCGGUAAUACGGAGGUUGCGAGCGUUAAUCGGAAUUACUGGGCGUAAAGCGCUCGUAGGCGGUAUGUGAAGUCAAGGGUGAAAUCCCCGCGCUCAACGUGGGAACUGCCUUUGAGACUGGCAAAGUGGAGUGUGUGAGAGGUAGGCGGAAUUCCUAGUGUAGCGGUGAAAUGCGUAGAUAUUAGGAGGAACACCAGGGGCGAAGGCGGCCUACUGGACGGUGACUGACGCUGAGGCUCGAAAGCGUGGGGAGCAAACAGGAUUAGAUACCCUGGUAGUC